AAUACUUUAUCGGCGCCGACAUUACUUGGCAUACGGCCAGCACCGUUUGUCUUUCCAAUCUACAUAGGUGUAUAAGUAUAUGCAGCAAUCAAGUUUCCUACAAUUUUUAUAUUUAAUCGUUGUGAACGUUACUAUCAACAUAAAAGAAAAAAUAACCAACAAAAAAGACAGAAAAAACCCAGCAGUAGGUGUACUUAAUGACCUCGUCGGGUAUAGAUCAACAGCAAAGAAAAAAGUAACCUCGGGUCAUUACUAAAUAUGUUGCAAUUGCAAGGAGAAAAUUGCUCACAGCGAUAACGCCACCUUUUGCGCAUAAAAUUUAAUUUUGCCAUUAAAAUUUAAUGAAGUAAUAUUAGCAUGGAUGAGACUUGAGCUCAAACUACGCAACGUUUUCGGGUGAACUCGAAGGACCUUCCGUUGAUAAAGUUACACACUUAACUUAAGCUUAUGGACCUACAUUGUACCUCAGUCGCUAC